rnacentral:sRNA from 7 species
AUGAGAAGAGUAGAGAGUAAAGCCCUCUGUUUAUCUUCAGAAUUGGUGCAGAAGAGCAUUGGCAAUGCAAGUUUCUCCCCUUAGCCCUAUAUAGGUUCUGCAUUUGCAAUGCUGAAGAAUCACCUUUAGGAAGGAGAAGAUGCUGUGGUCUCCUUAGUCUUUCUAUCCUCAAGCCUCU